CACGUAGGGCGCAAGCGUUGUCCGGAAUCAUUGGGCGUAAAGCGCGCGUAGGCGGCCAGAUAAGUCCGGUGUGAAAGUCACAGGCUCAACCUGUGAAUGCCGCUGGAAACUGUCUGGCUUGAGUCCGGAAGGGGCGAGUGGAAUUCCUGGUGUAGCGGUGAAAUGCGCAGAUAUCAGGAGGAACACCAAUGGCGAAGGCAGCUCGCUGGAACGGUACUGACGCUGAGACGCGAAAGCGUGGGGAGCAAACAGG
rnacentral:rRNA from 1 species